GCAGAGGAAGCUCAAGCCCAAACAAGACGGCCCACUCGAGAGAGGAAGAUACCAGCCCGCUAUCAGGAAUUUGUCAUGGAGUAGCUGUGGAGCGCGUGGCAUCUAUGGACCCUUGGUCCCCACAUUUUCUGUUAGGAUUUUCAGUAGUUGUUUCAGAAUCAAGCCGUUGUGGCAGUAGAAUAAAAGAGGAAACAAGAUGUACAUUGGAGGCAUGAAUUAAUGAACUAUCUGUUUUCUC
rnacentral:lncRNA from 1 species